rnacentral:rRNA from 1 species
AUUGAACGCUAGCGGGAUGCUUUACACCUGCAAGUCGCACGAGUGGCGGACGGGUGAGUAAUAUAUCGGAACGUGACCAGUAGCGGGGGCUAACUACUCGAAAGAGUGGCUAAUACCGCCUACUCUUGGAGCGGCCGAUAUCGGAUGAGCUAGUUGGUUGGGUAAAUGCUCACCAAGGCAACGAUCCGUAGCUGGUUUGAGUGGACGACCAGCCACACUGGGACUGAGACACGGACCCGACUGCGACGGGAGGCAGCAGUGGGGAAUUUUGGACAAUUGGUGAAACCCUGCGCCAGCCAUCACGCUUGUAUGAGAAGGCCUUCGGGUUGUAAAGUACUUUUGGCAGAGAAGCGGUAUCUGCAGAAUAAGCACCUGCUAACUACGUGCCAGCAGCCGCGGUAAUUC